UCGCAACCCGGCUACAUGAAGCUGGAAUCGCUAGUAAUCGCAGAUCAGAAUGCUGCGGUGAAUACGUUCCCGGGUCUUGUACACACCGCCCGUCACACCAUGGGAGCCGGGAAUGCCCGAAGUCGGUGACCCAACCGUAAGGAGGGAGCCGCCGAAGGCAGGCCUGGUAACUGGGGUGAAGUCGUAACAAGGUAUC
rnacentral:rRNA from 1 species